rnacentral:rRNA from 1 species
UACGAAGGGGGCUAGCGUUGCUCGGAAUCACUGGGCGUAAAGCGCACGUAGGCGGAUCUUUAAGUCAGGGGUGAAAUCCCGAGGCUCAACCUCGGAACUGCCUUUGAUACUGGGGGAUCUCGAGUCCGGGAGAGGUGAGUGGAACUGCGAGUGUAGAGGUGAAAUUCGUAGAUAUUCGCAAGAACACCAGUGGCGAAGGCGGCUCACUGGCCCGGAACUGGACGCUGAGGUGCGAAAGCGUGGGAAGCAAACAGG